rnacentral:rRNA from 1 species
AUUGAACGCUGGCGGCAGGCUUAACACAUGCAAGUCGAACGUGUGGCGGACGGGUGAGUAAUGAUUGGGAAUCUAGCUUAUCGAGGGGGCUAACUACUGGACACUGUAGCUAAUACCGCGUACCAUCGGAUGAGCCCAAGUGGGAGUAGGUAGUGGGUGGGGUAAAGGCUCACCAAGCCGACGAUCUCUCGCUGGUCUGAGAGGAUGACGGGCAGCUCUGGGACGGAGACACGCCACAGAGGCCUAAGAGAGGCAGCAGUGGGGAAUAGGGCGCAAUGGGGGCAACCUGACGACGCCAGGCCGGGUGAAUGAAGAAGGUGCUCGGGUUGGAAAGCUCUUUCGGUAGGGAGGCGUUAACUACAGAAGAACCACCGGCUAACUCCGUGCAAGCAGCCGCGGUAAUUC